GUUUGUCUGAACAUAAAAUAUAUAUUCAUAAUAAUGAAUCAUAAUUAAUUAUUAAUUACUAUUAGACGGGUAUAAUAUAGGUAUAAUAUAAAAAUCUUAUAAACGCUUAUAUUAUACAUGCCACCUAAAUCUAUCUAAAAUACUGUCUCCAUAAAUUAUAGGUCAAAAUAAAAUAUUUUCAUUCGAAAAAGACCAAACAAUUUUUUUAAAUAAAUAAACAAAAGCAAAUGUAUACGACUAAAAGUCUUAAUAUUACCUAUUCAUCAUCUUAACGAUAAGUAUGAUUUGUUAUUCAUGUAACUAUAAUACUAAUAAUUAAUGUAAUAUUAUAAUUAGCUAAUAACACUAAUUUUUUAAUUAAAUUUUUUUUUUUGCGUUCAUAGAGUCCAAGGGUCUUAAAUUAUUCCACUUUUCGCUAUUUUUAUUGUAUUCCAGCUCCAUUCUUGCGUUACAUUUGCAAUAUUUGCUCUUAAUGGGUCUAACCUUUUUUGCUUAUGGUCUUUUUUGGGUCUUUAACCAU